ensembl:ribozyme RNase_MRP RNase MRP
CGCAUGCCUGAACACUUGCUGUCUAAGCCACUAGCUGAGAACUGCGAUUCUCCCUGAACGCUUAGGGGAAAGUCCCCGGACCCCGAGCAGAGAUGCUCUGUCUAACCGGCAGCGGCGCGCCUGCAGCGCGGAUACCCUGCUGAGAAGCUCCCCUGAGGGGCCGAGCAGACCGCGCAGUCCGCCUUUGUCCCAGUCCAAGAAAUGCAGGUAGUAAUGAUCUAACAGAACGGGGCUCAUUCUCAGGCAUGU